UGCAACUCGACUCCAUGAAGCUGGAUUCGCUAGUAAUCGCGCAUCAGCCAUGGCGCGGUGAAUACGUUCCCGGGCCCUUGUACACACCGCCCGUCAAGCCAUGGGAGUCGGGAGUGCCUGAAGUUCGUGACCGUCACAGGAGCGACCUAAGGCAAGACCGAUGACUGGGGCUAAGUCGUAACAAGGUAUC
rnacentral:rRNA from 1 species